CUAGCUCUUCUCUCUACAAACAGGUGCCUCUUUUGGGUUAUUGUUUGCGCUUCAAGUUAUGAAUUUUAUGUUGCUUAAUCGAUGAAGUUUGAAAUUUGAAUUGGGUGCCGAAAAGAUUCUUAUGGUUCAAUACUAGUUUAAAUUUAGGCAAAUUAAUAUCAAAUAAUGUUGAUCUAUAUUGAAUUUUAUUUUAUUUGCCCAAAUUUAGAUUGCAAAUGCUGUGAAUGGAG
rnacentral:misc_RNA from 1 species